UUUCGUGGUUUAAAUAUUUUGGUCCUUAAACUUUAUAUGUGAUGUCCCAAUAGUUUCACGUUAGAUAAGUAAAAAAUUGUGAAUAUAAAUAUAAAGAUUAAGGACUCCAAUACAAAUAAUUAUGAUUAAGCAUUUUUAGACUGAUAGUUUGUGCCCAAUAAAUUAUUAGUGUUAGUGGACUGGAUUGUUACAUUUGGUAUCAAAGUUGAUUUACCAGUCGAAAGUGCUGGAAGGAUAGAAAAUAUGAGUCGGAAUUGUGAGAUCGGUCUCAUGUUAUCAAAUCAUGUGAGAGCCGAUAGUUUGUACCCAACGAGUUUUUAAGCUUGUAAUUUGUACCCAACGAGUUAUUAGUGCUAGUACAUUUGAUCGUUAUAUUUAGUAUCAGAGCUGAUUUACUAAUCGAAAAUGCUAGAUGGAUAAAAAAUGUGAGUCGGAAUUAUGAGAUGGGUCUCACAUCAUCUGAUGAUGAUCUGGAAUAGGAAAUUGGGGACGUGACUAGGUUGUAAGAGCCGAGAAUGUCACGGUCUAAAUAAAAAAAAAAAAAAUGUGACAUCUCAAAAGUACUACAUCGAAUCGGUAAAAACUGUGAAUUAAUUUAAAUAUAAAUAAUAAAGGCUAUAAUAUUAGUAACUAGACUUAAAUAUUUUAGACUGGCGAGCCAAAUGUAGAGUUAGUAUGCUAUUGAAAAUAUAGAGAAUUUAAUACUUCUGUCUUUUGAAUUAUUGGAUUAAGAAUUAUACGGUUGGGAUGAUAGCGGUCCCCCCUAGUGUUGAGUGGUCCCCACAGGAUAAUAGUAUUAAUCUCUAUACUUCCGAUAGUAUAGUAGCUCUACUCGGUGGGCCGGUAGUUUAAAUGUAACAAAUUAUUAGUG
rnacentral:lncRNA from 1 species